rnacentral:rRNA from 1 species
UACAGAGGAGCCAAGCGUUGUCCGGAUUGACUGGGCGUAAAGCGCACGCAGGCGGUUGCGCGCGUGGGGUGUGAAAUCUGGCCGCUUAACGGCCAGGCGCCAUCCCAUACGGCGCGACUGGAGUGAUGCAGAGGUCGAUGGAAUUGCCGGUGUAGUGGUGAAAUGCGCAGAUAUCAGGAGGAACACCGGUGGCGAAGGCGGUUCUCUGGGCAUGUCCUGACGCUGAGGAGCGAAAGUGUGGGGAGCGAACAGG